GUAGGUGGCAAGCGUUGUCCGGAAUUAUUGGGCGUAAAGCGCGCGCAGGCGGUCCUUUAAGUCUGAUGUGAAAGCCCCACGGCUCAACCGUGGAGGGUCAUUGGAAACUGGGGGACUUGAGUACAGAAGAGGAAAGCGGAAUUCCCAAGUGUAGCGGUGAAAUGCGUAGAGAUUUGGAGGAACACCAGUGGCGAAGGCGGCUUUCUGGUCUGUAACUGACGCUGAGGCGCGAAAGCGUGGGGAGCAAACAGGAUUAGAUACCCUGGUAGUCCAACGCCGUAAACGAUGAGUGCCUAAGUGUUAGGGGGUUUCCCGCCCCCUUAGUGCUGCAGCUAACGCAUUAAGCACUCCGCCUGGGGAGUACGGCCGCAAGGCUG
rnacentral:rRNA from 1 species